rnacentral:rRNA from 1 species
UACGGAGGAUGCGAGCGUUAUCCGGAUUUAUUGGGUUUAAAGGGUGCGUAGGCGGGCUUUUAAGUCAGCGGUGAAAGUCUGUGGCUCAACCAUAGAAUUGCCGUUGAAACUGGGGGGCUUGAGUAUGUUUGAGGCAGGCGGAAUGCGUGGUGUAGCGGUGAAAUGCGUAGAUAUUAGGAGGAACACCAGUGGCGAAGGCGGCUUUCUGGACGAAAACUGACGCUGAGGUACGAAAGCGUGGGGAGCAAACAGG